CUAAAUUGCCAAUUAUGAAUUUUCAUAAAUAUAAAUUGUAAAAGAAAUUAAGCUGAGUAUUGGAAGAAGAAUAACUGAUGCUCCAAGGAUAGUACAGUGAUCGUCAUUAUCCGAAAACGAGCAAAUUUCGUCAGCAAAUAUCGUAGAAUAAGGCCAAGGAAAAUAAGAGAUCGACGAACAAAGAGAAUCACUCGCUUACUGGAAUCGUAUCUAAUCUUAAUCAUUAUUCUAUUCGCAUAUUCCUGUUUAUUAUUUUCCCGUGCCCUCGCUGCCAGUCACCAACACGAAAGUGACAUCAUAUUCUGUUCACGAACCAGUUCUCAUUGACUUUAAUACCAGCUCUCUAUGGUGGAGGUCUGGAAGAUGGUCGUCAGGUGCGGUCAUAACCUCGCAAUGGGUUCGUAGACACGUGUACUAGUCUUUUGAGUUCUGACAUAAGUUCUAAAUAAAAAAUUGCAGAGGCGUUUAUAUUUCCGUUGAAAACUUGACGUUAAUAGGGUUAAAAAGGAGAAAAACUCGGUCGAACACGUGAGAAACAAUGGAUCCUUCGUUUUGUUUGGAAGUUGCGAGGCUGUUUGUGUGCAGUGCACGCUACACCGAGCAGAAAGUUCAGUCUCCAUUACAUAAGAGAAUAGCCGGUCCUCUUUAUCUUUUUCCUCUCUCGAGUCCAUCGUCGACGUUGAAUCACCAUAGGCGUCUAGACGAACUUAAUUAAACCCAGACACAUAACACACUCUAUAGAUUUUUACCACAGAUAAUAAUGUAUCAACAUCAAGUUCAUGUUAAUUUAAAUCAACGAUACGAUAAUAUUCCAGCAUUGAUUUUCUGAUGAAGCUUAUAAAUGAAGAUUCAAACUCUACGGGCAAACGAAUUUUAAUUUAUAUAACCUAAACUUUGAAAGUAGAUCCUCCUAAAUCUCUUUAUCCAUAAAUUAAUAAUAAAUUAAAUAAUAUUAAUUCAAAAUUAAUAAACAAAUCUUGAUUUACGUAACUUGAACUUUAAAGAAAUGGAUCUUCUUAAGUAUCAUAUACGCCAAUCUCUAUAGGCAAAGAUUUUGCAAGUCUGGAAAGCCAAACAUCAGCUUUCCAAAGCAAAGUUCAUGCAGGGACAUCUAUGAAACCCCGGAAGGGUUGGCAAACCAGUUUUGUGACAACGGUGCAGCGUUUAUCGAUUAUCUUCUUAACCUACGUGUUUCACAGGUUGUCUGUCUUGUAUAAUUGCUAUCGAUGCUCGCACCAUCUAACCAUCUUUUCGGUUAUUUCUAUCAUUGAUAUAUGUAUGUAAAUACGUUCUCACGUUUCUUUUUGGAGGUUAGAUAACAUUGGAGAGUUGGAGGCAACACGCGGGCGUUAUAAUGUCUCAUCGAGAAAGCAGCCACCCACAAAAGAAAAUCUGCCGUGUAAUAAAAGGUAACGGUGCCUGGAAAUAAUAGAGUACCAUAUAUCAACAGAAGGCGCCUGUAUACUUUGUAAUUUCACGUUACACGCAGUCGUACGUUUUUCUCCGCUAUAUUUCAUUUUCUUUAUCCUUCGUUUUCUUUCCUUGACAAUUUUUUUAUAAUUUUGUUUUUAAAAUAUGAUUUUAUAGUUUAUAAAUCUAUGCAAUAAUUAACUAUCGGUUAUUAAUUACUGAUUGUCUAUAAUUUACAUACUUUUUGUAAAAUGAUUUUACCAAUCAAGUAGUUUUAUAAUAAUUUUCUAAUCAUUUUCAUUAAUGAUAUAUGAAUAUAAGCAAUGAAAGAAGAUAAGCGAUGUUGCAAUAAUUUUUUAAUGUCAAAUGUGAGUAUAUUUUUUAAAUAAUUUUACUGUCGCCGUAAACGUUGUUGUAAUAAUUUUGUAAUGAUUUCGUUAGAGUUGUAUAGUUGUUGUAUAAAAAAUUAUUUUUAUAUUUAGGAUUCAUAGUUAGUCGAAUGUCUGAUUGCAAUUUUGUUAGAAUGAGUAACGAAGUAAUGGAAAACAAAGAUGUCACUACUUCCGGAAGGUAGUUUCGUGACAACUUCCUGCUCAUCGCGAUGUUGCUCAAGAAACGUCGGAAAUAAGGUUGGAAAAUCGUGUUCCUGCCAUCCAAGCAUCGACCAAUGAAGUUUUUUCUGAUGCAACAAUCAUUGCGACAUGAUCAUCAACGAAGAUAACUAUAAAAUACGUGUGGGAGCGUUUCCAUUAUUAUAAUAUUUUUCCUUGAUUUUUUGUUGUAUAAACUUUCCACUGUGCCUUUUCAAUAAUUACUUGUUAAUCUCUGCUAAACAGUGUUGUAAGACAGGUACAUAGAUAUCAGAAAAGAAUUAACUUGGGCCCUUAUUCAAUACGAAACAAAGAAUUAUAUUGUCGCGGAUUUCUUUCAACAAUUAUUUAAUUGGAAUAUUUUUUAUUUCGUUAUCCUUGUUGCAUUACUGUCAUUAAAUUUUAUGAUAGAAAUGCAAUUAAAGUAAGAUUAAUAUAAUAUAAUAUAAUAUAAAUUACGAGAAAUAUGAUUCAAACAAUAUACGUGAACUUUUGCCUCAUAUUUUCAAUUAUAUAAACUUUAAUUUUUCAGUGAAUUAUUAUUGACUUAAUUAUAUUAAAAUCAAUAACAGCACUUUUUUCUUUUUAAUGCUUUUUACAAAAAUGUAGAUGGUUACAAAUUUGGGGCUCCUCUAUUUAUAAUAUUUAUAUAUCUUUCUGUUUUAUUUAUGUAGAGCCAAUAAUAGAUUUGCAAAUAAUUGCAUUAACAGCAAAAGUAACGCAUUAUUCAUGAAAUAAGGAGGGCCGUAAUAAGCCCCGGAGAGAAACUCUCCAUUCACGAUGCAUGCUCUUUUCCAAAGCCAACGAUUUAAUGCUGGCGUCCUCGAUUUGACGGGAAAGAACAAUACUGCGAAGAAAAAUGUGCAUUUGCAAUACACACUCUUAAAAGAUAUGAUACUGGUGAGGCGAAGCAACGAUCCACAACCUGGUUGCUAAUUAAUUAAACACUCUAACGUCACUAGUCUUAUAGAACAAUAAGAAAAUAAGAAGUGAUCGAAUCUGCAAUAUUUACACAAACUAAUAUAUUUAACGAAAGAAGACUACUUUGUUUAAAGCUAGUAAGGAAAAGCAGCGUCACAAUUUUUUUUUAAUAAACAAAACUACAAGAAAUAUUGUUAAUUGGAGAUUAAUUGAAGAUCAGAGAGCUUCUGAAACGCGGCAGUACCUUUGGAAAGAUGUUCGACAAAAAUCCACGGAGAUCGUUAAGUUACCUUACAGGCCGAUUCAAGGACAGACAAGUAUCAUCAGGAUUGCGAGUCAUCCUGCUUGUUCUUUAUACUCUUUUUUUUCUUCUUUUUCCUUGGACUCCGGCGUCCUUCCGUGCCGGGCGCUCUUCUUUGCUCGAUACUCGUUUAAAACUCGUUUUUAAAACCAUACACGAAAGUUUAUUAAUUUCAUUUAUACCGACUUAUAAUUGGAGAUUAGAAUCUAUAUUAUUAGAUCCUGAUUCGAUUAGACUUUCUUAUGGUAAAUCAAAGUUUUAAAUAUUCUUCUAAUCUUCUUAUAGGUUUGGAAAUUUGCAAAAAUUAGGUUAAGAUUAAAAAUAAUUGAUGUAAUUAUUGAUGUAAAAGUUCUUUAUCCUUAUGAAGAUUAAUUAAAUUCUGUGUAAUUUAUUGUGUCAGUUUAAUUGCGUUUAAUGAAAGUUUAAUGCCAGGAGAGGAAUUUCUCUGCUAGGCUCUACAUCUGAGAAUCCCCAUUUAUAGGAACUCUUCUAUAGUCUUCCAUAUAUAGACAUAACCUUUUUUCAGAAAGGAAGAAAAAUUAUGGAAGAUUUUGUUUCAAAUGUUGGGGUGUUUCUAAGAAAUAAUGUCUUUUUAUGCCACAAAAUAUGCGAAAUAUCUUUUCUUAAUUCUAUAUAUAAUUUCUGUAGAACAGCAUAGAGAUUUCAUUGGAUUAUAUUAAUUAGUAUAGCUAUAAAAUUAUAAAAAGAAAUUUACAUAACCUAUAAUCUAAUAAUUCACUAAUCAUUAUAAUACUGUCAAUUAAUAAAUUAUUGUGCAACAGGUGGAGAAUGUGAAAAGAAUGGUGAGAAAUACAGUAAUUUAUAGUUUGGAAAGUGAAUGACGCGAUAAUUCAACUCCUGUGAAGAGGUAGAAGAAUGAAGUUGAAAAAGUCAGGCACAAACUUCUUGAUGAAGGAAGUUGUUUGCGGUCGAAUGAAUCGGACCUUGGCAAGAGAAGUCCAGACGGUGCGGUGCUGGAAACAGCUCAAAGGAGUCCGCGGCACGUCGACAAGACGUCCCCUUUGUGGGAUACCGUUCGACCACCGAGCAAGUAACGAGAUUUCAGUUCGUGGAACUCGCCAUAACGACCCCGCCUCUCGUUUGUCCAGAAAUUCAUUCACUAAUUCUCCUCUUACCUUCUGCUGUCACAACAUUGAUCUGUUUCUUGAUUAAAUAUCACCAACGAAUCUUUGUAGUAGACAAAAAGUAUAUUAUAAUGAGAGAUGAUCAGUAGCUGAGAGGUUAGAAUCCUAUACCUAGGGGAAGAUACAUCUUCACGCAUUUGUGAAGUAAUAUGUAAUAAGAAGUUACACCGUAAAUUGUAUAGAAUUAAGUGUACGUUCAUCACAUUGCUAAAAUGGGACGUGAAAAAGCAUUUAGAAGAGGGCAGAACGUAUUGUUUCAGUGAGAAGAGGUUAGGAGGUUGUUUACUCGAACUGUUACACCGAGUUCGAUCCCCCAAUUGUUUGGCGGAGAGCGUGUAUCGAUCGAAUAGUUCGAGGAGUCAAGCGCUCGCACGUGUCCGCACCUUUUUCUUUCUUUGCAGACAUUGGAUACUGUAUACGCUGGAUGCUGCGCGAAACCGUUAUGCAACCUGCAGCGUAUAAGUGGUCUUUGCUCGUCCAGAUUCCCGUUGCCCUGUCUCCGCAUCGUUUUCAUCAUUACAAAAUAGCUAUGGAAAAUUAUAACCUACUCAUCCAAAACUACAAGUUCUCCUCUUAUUAAUUAUUAAUUACGAAUUUAAUUAGGAAUGAGAUAAAAGUUAUAAGAAUUAAUUUAAAAAAAAAGAAGAAAUGAAAAAUUGAUUAGGUUAUAUAUUUUCAGGAUGGAUAAAAACAGUAUAGCAUUGGAAAUAAACAACGUUGUGUAAUCAUUCUUGACGACUGGAUCGACUACGACAAAACCACAUUUUACUGCUUGUUUAGCCUUCGCAUUUUUCAAUACCAGUUCUUUGUACCCACGUAAUUGAAAUAUAUAUGUAUGUAGUUGCAAUUUAAUUUCAGAUUGGGAAGUUUCAUUUCCACUUCUCCAAUGUCAUUUAGCUCUUACAGCUAUACAAAACCAUGGUUAUUCACAUCACGAAGACAUCUCCCUGUUUCCCUUAUUCUAUAACGUUUUGAAGCAAUCGUAUAGCUCACUUCAGAAGCGACGUUCAUUGUUUUCUCUGUAUUAUGCUUCACUGUCUCAACGCGUUUUCAAUUCUUCCAUACAAUUCAAACUCAAUAUAUGUACUUUUUUCAAAUGUACUGCUUAAAACAAUGAUCCAUCCACUAUUGAACUCGAAAACGCCAUCUACAUCUGUAAGUAUUCGUUUGAAUUACUUCUUUGUAUGAGGCUACAUAUAUUUAAUAACUUUGUCAAACUAUCUGGGAAACGAAUUUUAAAAUUUUGUAGAUUAAAAAUUGCAAAUUUUGAAAUUUUGGAAAUUCGACAGUUGUCGAAUAAAAUAUCUCUCUAACUUUACUUGUACUUUGUACCAUUUUUUAAUUUAAGGUUAUAUACAGGUACAUUGUAAAGCGGAUAAUGUCACGAGGUAUUUAAGGCGACAGGCUCCCACGAGUUACCGUCGGCGUCAUCGACCACCAUGAUCCCGUGUUUAGUCUCUGGCUCCAUUUCCUUCUCCCUUUCGGCCACUUUCCUUCUUGUCUCUCCUCGCCCCCAGCCACUCCCUUAUUCGUUUUCAAGUUCUCUUCUCUUCUUUUGUUUCUCUCCCCCUUUUCUUCUCGCUGCACUUGUAUUUUUUCUUCUCUGUUGCAUUGUUUUAGUGUUGAAUAUUUAAUCGUUUAAUCUCUCUUAAUUUCUACUUCAAAUAUUUUAGAUAUUUCUUUAUAUUCUAGUCUCGAAUCGCAGUGUAAUAAUUAUUAUGGAAGUCACAGCAAUAAGUCUUAACAAGCAAUAUUUUUUAAAAAAGAUUAGCUCUAAAAAAAUGUCUGUUCAUCAUAUUUUUCGUUCUUUGAACAAAUGUUUCUUGCUCUACCAAUUUCUUCCUACUCCUCUAAUCUAUUUAUGACCGAUUUCAAUUCAUCCUCUCUCUUCAUCUUUAACCUCCAAUAUAUCUUCCUCCUUGUGGAAUCGUGUUCCCCAUGAAAGAAGAAGAAUGGAAAGCUGUGACGCGAUUUACGACCCUGUUUACAGCUUCCGGAAGAAGCAUAUCGACCUCACGCACGCACUAGACGACGAAAAAUGGACGCAAAUUGGGGUCAGGAGGAGUGGCAUCACAUGUCCAAGGUGUGCAUCAGGUAACCAUGAGCGCGUUUAUCGUCCUUUAAAAGAGAUUCGAGCGUCGUGUGGACACUAGCAGAGAUGAAGUCAACUGAGAGAGGGGUUUCCUCACCCAAGGUGAUCCGGUAUAAAAGCGAGAGGCCAUCAAGAGCGAGAAGACCACCUGACGAAUCCUCACGCAUAAAAAGAAACAGGAUAAAAAAAGUCAAACUUUAUUGAUCAGAAAAAGACAGUUAGCAUUGGAUCACGACCAUAUUUAAUAUCAUACAAAGUUCCCCUGGAUCAUCAUACAUGAUAUUCCAAUAAUCAUGGACACCUUAUAUAAUAAAUACAUAAAGGAAUAAAAAUCUGUGACUAGAAGAAAAAACGCAAGAAACACCAUUUGGUUUGAAUUUCGAGGUUAUGAUGGACAGAAAAAUGUAAUUAGCGAAGAAGACGCGCAGAUUCUUUGAUGAAGCGCUUUUUUAAUUAAGGUUCGAGUGCGUCAUCGCUUCCAGAUGAUUUAACGAACAUUUUUUUGGCCAAACAGAGCUGAUGUUCUAGGUUGUUCACCCCGAUGGCCACUAAAUUAAUUCUGGCGAUGACAUUAUCCGCACCCCCGCGUCCCUAGCCGUUGAAGCGGUGCCAGUGACUCAUUGUCAAUGACUUUCCAUCAAUUUCCGCCUCGUUUCGUUUACCAUGGGGAAGCCACAGAAUCGCGAGUCAUGGUUUUAUUAUCAAGCAUCAGUUUAAUUCCUGUUCCUCCUUAACAAAGAGUAAUUAUAGAAGGAUUAAAUAGAAGUAUUAGUAAUAAUAAUAGAAUUAGUCCAGAGAAAUGAUUGUUAAGUGAGUAACCAAGUUUAAAAAGGCCUCGUUUUCUAUCAAUACGAAACUGGAGACCAAAAUAAGUUAGGCCUUGAGGGUUUGACUAUACAUAGCCUGGUAUAUACCUCAUGUACAGGGUCAAGUCAAAGCGGCGUUGUCUUGGAGGCGACUUUACGAUGCAAAUACACGUCGCCGCGAUUUGUACAAUUUUCUCUUGUUUGGCUAGGGAGCCGGACGCUGGCGCCGUGACGCUGCAUUCGUUUCUGGCACGAAAAUAGUCAGCAGUCGACGGAGAAGGAUAAAGGCGGCUCAGUCGAAUGAAAGACUAGCCUGAAGGCGACAGACGGACAAAACAACAAGUUAAGGGGAGAAAAUCGAAGUAAACGCUUCGUCAAACCGAGUUCUCGCUGCCCUUUCCUCCUUUUACCAGCCAUAUUCUAAAAAUAGUUCCGCCAUGUGAGCAGGGAAAGUGCGUCCUUGGGUCUUCGGAGAACAAAGAUUGCAAUUGGCCAAUCUGAAGGAAACCUAAUCGAAGUAUUAGAUUAUUAUCGAUUCUAACUUCAUUUCAAUUUUUUAAAGACGAUACAUUGAAAUUUCAAGUUACAAUAUUUAGGAAAAUAUAUUUCUUAUGAAAUCUAGGCAGUAGGCAAUUAGAUAUUUAAUCUUAAACUUUUUCAAAUAUAAGCAUAGUGUCAAAUGGAGUCAGAAAGUAGCGAUUUUCUAAUUUAGUAAUUGCCUGUUAAAGAAACUCACUGGCUUGUUGUAUUACCACACGAUGGUAAUUGGAGAUUACGUGGACGUUGCAUGAAAUUUCACGGGGAAAAACAUAAUUCGGCCUAAAUGGAUCAAAGUAUAACAGAAAGAACCGUGUAAUUACAACGCUGCGCGAAAAUGUGUGUACAGAGGCGAGGAUAGCCGGUUAUCCUGGAGGCAGUCAGUGGAACAAAGAGAAACUACCGGACACAUAGAGCGUCUUGGGCAACCGGCUUGGUGAUUUCGUAACUCCCCGCGCCGCCGCAAACUGUAUCACAUGAGAGAAGUUUGAUCCCCGAUACAACAUACAACGUUUGCUGGAAUUAUGGCGUAUAAUUAGAGAACAAAAGAGAGACAGUGACGCAUCGAAAAAACUGCGUUAAUUGAUCGAAAGCAUCUCGAUGAACGGAGGAGAAAUCGUCAAGAGUCGAAUGGAUGGAACGAAAUCAUUGUAGCACUGCGGAAUCGAUUCUUUGCUUGUUGGGCAAUCGACAAUCUGCAACCUGGAACAAUUGUUUCCACUCUCGUUCCGCGUUCAAUCGAUUAAAAAAAGAAUCUUAAACUUGGAGAAUUUUUAAUUUGGAAAUUACAGAACUGUGAAUUUUAAAUGUGGAAAUUUCAGAACUGGGAAAUCUUUAAUUUGGAAUUCUGAAAGUUCGAAAUCCGGGGAACUAACAAUAUAAAAGACCAGAUUUAAUGACGCCUACAAGUUUUCCAUUUUAUCAAUGACGACCAGCGUUGUCAAUUAGUUCGAAUUUGUACGCACAUAGGAUCGAUUAUAACUGACGACAAUCACCAUGAAUAAUUAUAACCUGAAACAAGGGUCGUACACUGAAGUUCAUGGAGGAUCGAUCAGAAGUUCUUAAUGGGGUGCGGGUCAAUAAACAGCCAGAUGUGUUUAAUGCCAUGCAUAAGACGUCCAUUAUUGAUUACCAUUAACAAAGAUGGCGCGUGGUAAUUAAACUCGCCCUCGGGACGCGUGGAUCAACACUCUGAAUUACCUACAACCCGUGAAGUGACAUUCACCAUGAGAGCCUUGCGUGUCACAUUAUCACAGGAUUAUUGGAUUCUCGUUCAAGUGUAAAACUGGUAACAAAAAUAACUAAAGAUAAUUUAGAAUGAAAAACACAGAGGUGUUAUUAAAGGUCAAUUACAAGGACUGAAAGUUAUGGUUAACCUAAAAUUAAUGUUCACAUUGACCUGAUCAGUGGCCUUUAAGUUGUUUAAAACGUUUCUUCCGGAAGAAAAGCGUAACGUGAGACAGAUGGUCCAUUUGACCUUUGUUCAUCUUCUCCCUUCAAGAUAAGUUAGGUUAACUCUGGAAGUAUAGCAAGUUAGAUACAUCAAAUUGUAUAGAGCGGAACAUCUUUGAAUUUCAAGCUUCCUCCAAAGUAAAUUAGCCCAUAACAAUGGCUGGAAGUCGACGGAGCGUGUGUGCACUCUUCCAGGUCAAAGUUCACGCUCGGUUGAACUCCAAACAUAAAGAAAACGAGGAUAUCUGCAUCUCCAACAUUAUAUGCUAUAAAUGUUCCCAAAAGACAUAACCGGGAUAAGAAUUAAUAUUGUCAAAAUUAUUUUAGAUUCACUAUCCAAUUUUAUCCUAACCAAAAAGUUCAUGAUUAUCUAUGAGAAACAAAAUAUGAUAAAAAAUGACUGAUCUAUAAAAAUUACGAGGUUCAGACACGUCUCUGCUAUUUCACGGUUCAUUUUACAUCCAAUCCACGUCCAAAUAUCCAAACCUCAAAAAGACUAAAAUAAGAAACAAAGAACCAUCGAAAGUAAUUGGCCAGUCAAAAGUACAAAAAUCAGACACGUUUUUGGCAUUUCACGGUCCCGUUGUUCGACUCGUAUUAAUUACCAUUGCCAUAAAUUACCAUGUUAUGCGAAGAGACGAAAAGAAGUUUCUUGCUUUGUCGGCCCAGCAUCAUUAGGGUCGGCUCCCCACUUGAUCUGUUCCCCUCCUAGAAUUCCUGUUCUAUUUCACACGAGUGACACGUAGCACGGAGAAAGACGCAUUAGGGUCGAACGGAAACGGAUAUUAGAAAACGUCGGAUUCGAGACUGUUUUUCCGCGACAUCGUGAUGACGACAACAUCGAGAUCUGACGAAUAGACGUCGAUGAAACGGCGACAUCAUCGAAGACGACCUCGAUUCCAUCAAGGAUAAGGUCUCUAGAGGGAGAUCCCGGGAGAGCUCCCCGAUUACUUUCGCCAUUCUAAACGCGCUCGAAUUUCUAAGAUAUUCCAGCGUACAUAUUGCGUUCGACGCGAUCGACGCUGCGGAGAAAUUCGUGGGAACACGCUUGCCACGAGCCGCGAUUUCGCGGCUUCUCCACGGGUUUCAAGAGUUACUGAGAAGUUGAAAGAUACGAAAAUUGGAAAAUUUUAUAUUUGGAAUCUCAAAAAUUUGAUGGCUUGAAGAUUGCAAAACGUUUAAUUGAGAAUUUUGAUAUCUUGACGCAUUGAAAAUUCUGUAAAAUUCUAAACUUAAAAUUUUGAUCAUUUUGUUGCUUUAGAAUUUGGAAACUUGACGCUUUAAAAAAAUGAAGAAAUAAAAGUUUGACACUAUGAAAAUUGGAAAAUUAAGACGUCGGACUUUUGCAAAAAUCAAAAAUUCGUUACUCCAUAUACGAGCAUUUUGGCAGAGAGACCAAUGAAGUGAAGAGCGCAUUAAUCGAUCCGAUAUUCCUGAACUAUAAUUACUCGGGUAGUAAGGUUAAUUAGCCGCAGGUGUAGCAAAGUGCAUGUAUAUUUAAUAAGAUAAGAAUUGUGGCGCGCCGCUUGUUCCAGACGCUUGCUGAUGUCAUCUAUUCAAAUAUCCGCGUGUUACAAACAACUAAAUAUAUACUCUCAAAACAUUAAAAAAGAACAGAAGUACCCAAAAAGAAGGAGUCAAAGAGUCAACAAUACUCAAUAACCAAAAACAACACAAAGAAAUCUUAAAAGACUCACCGUAGAUGACAUCCAACUUCAAUCACCAAAUUCUUCUAAA